CUGCACAGCCACGCCACCCUCAAUGCUCCCCAUCUCGUCUGAUGUGGGAAGCCACUCAGGCUGAGUCUGUUUGGCCUUGGAUGGGAGAAAAGUUCCAGAGAGCUGCAUGGUGGGCUGUGUGGC
ensembl:rRNA 5S_rRNA 5S ribosomal RNA